CAAAAUAUCAAUCAGUUUUUACUUUUUCAUGCCAAAAAGAGCUGAGAUUUAAUUCAUAUAAAUGAUUCUAACAUAAUAUAAUUACACAUCCCCUGGUGUGUAAAGCACUACCAUAAUUUUCCUCAACUUUUUUUCAGGCACUAAUAUGUCUAUACAACAAGAAGUAAGAGAUAAAAGAAAUGAAUGCAGGAACAAGAAACAACAUCCUCUUUGGCAUAAUUUGGAACCACUCUGAUUCUUCUUCAAUGAUGGGUUCCAACCUUGGAUAGCUAUGUGAAAAAUUUUGAGGAGUUAUAUAUAGAGCUGGUGCAACCUCUCCACAAUUUUGGAGGAUACCUUCUACUUCCUUCACCAUCUUCUUCAACAUUUUUCAGAAAUAACUAGAAUGAAAGAAACUCCACUUCAAACAAAAGAUUAUAUAAAAUAUUGUUGGGGUUUGGUGAAAAGGUGAAUAAAUAUUUUAGUUCACAACUUCAAGUGCCAAUUAGAAAUGAUUUGGAGAUAAUGACAAAUGAAGCCACAUAUAUAUACUUGGGAAAAUUGUGCUAAAGGAAGAGAUAUGGUUGAUGAAUGUUUUGGUUGGUUCAAGGUAGAAAAAUUAUUGGUGGAAAUUAGUGACAACUCAUUAUUCC
rnacentral:lncRNA from 1 species